GAUGAACGCUAGCUACAGGCUUAACACAUGCAAGUCGAGGGGAAACGAUAUUGGAAGCUUGCUUCCGAUAGGCGUCGACCGGCGCACGGGUGAGUAACGCGUAUCCAUCCUGCCCAUCACUUGGGGAUAACCUUGCGAAAGUAAGACUAAUACCCAAUGAUAUCUCUAGAAGACAUCUGAAGGAGAUUAAAGAUUUAUCGGUGAUGGAUGGGGAUGCGUCUGAUUAGCUUGUUGGCGGGGUAACGGCCCACCAAGGCGACGAUCAGUAGGGGUUCUGAGAGGAAGGUCCCCAACAUUGGAACUGAGACACGGUCCAAACUCCUACGGGAGGCAGCAGUGAGGAAUAUUGGUCAAUGGGCGAGAGCCUGAACCAGCCAAGUAGCGUGCAGGAUGACGGCCCUAUGGGUUGUAAACUGCUUUUAUAAGGGAAUAAAGUGAGUCUCGUGAGACUUUUUGCAUGUACCUUAUGAAUAAGGACCGGCUAAUUCCGUGCCAGCCGCCGCAGUAA
rnacentral:rRNA from 1 species